rnacentral:rRNA from 2 species
GGAGCCAGCCGCCUAAGGUGGGAUAGAUGAUUGGGGUGAAGUCGUAACAAGGUAGCCGUAUCGGAAGGUGCGGCUGGAUCACCUCCUUUCUAAGGAA